ACCGAUAGUGAACCAGUACCGUGAGGGAAAGGCGAAAAGAACCCCGGCGAGGGGAGUGAAAAAGAACCUGAAACCGUGUACGUACAAGCAGUGGGAGCACGCUUAGGCGUGUGACUGCGUACCUUUUGUAUAAUGGGUCAGCGACUUAUAUUCUGUAGCAAGGUUAACCGAAUAGGGGAGCCGAAGGGAAACCGAGUCUUAACUGGGCGUUAAGUUGCAGGGUAUAGACCCGAAACCCGGUGAUCUAGCCAUGGGCAGGUUGAAGGUUGGGUAACACUAACUGGAGGACCGAACCGACUAAUGUUGAAAAAUUAGCGGAUGACUUGUGGCUGGGGGUGAAAGGCCAAUCAAACCGGGAGAUAGCUGGUUCUCCCCGAAAGCUAUUUAGGUAGCGCCUCGUGAAUUCAUCUCCGGGGGUAGAGCACUGUUUCGGCAAGGGGGUCAUCCCGACUUACCAACCCGAUGCAAACUGCGAAUACCGGAGAAUGUUAUCACGGGAGACACACGGCGGGUGCUAACGUCCGUCGUGAAGAGGGAAACAACCCAGACCGCCAGCUAAGGUCCCAAAGUCAUGGUUAAGUGGGAAACGAUGUGGGAAGGCCCAGACAGCCAGGAUGUUGGCUUAGAAGCAGCCAUCAUUUAAAGAAAGCGUAAUAGCUCACUGGUCGAGUCGGCCUGCGCGGAAGAUGUAACGGGGCUAAACCAUGCACCGAAGCUGCGGCAGCGACGCUUAUGCGUUGUUGGGUAGGGGAGCGUUCUGUAAGCCUGUGAAGGUGUGCUGUGAGGCAUGCUGGAGGUAUCAGAAGUGCGAAUGCUGACAUAAGUAACGAUAAAGCGGGUGAAAAGCCCGCUCGCCGGAAGACCAAGGGUUCCUGUCCAACGUUAAUCGGGGCAGGGUGAGUCGACCCCUAAGGCGAGGCCGAAAGGCGUAGUCGAUGGGAAACAGGUUAAUAUUCCUGUACUUGGUGUUACUGCGAAGGGGGGACGGAGAAGGCUAUGUUGGCCGGGCGACGGUUGUCCCGGUUUAAGCGUGUAGGCUGGUUUUCCAGGCAAAUCCGGAAAAUCAAGGCUGAGGCGUGAUGACGAGGCACUACGGUGCUGAAGCAACAAAUGCCCUGCUUCCAGGAAAAGCCUCUAAGCAUCAGGUAACAUCAAAUCGUACCCCAAACCGACACAGGUGGUCAGGUAGAGAAUACCAAGGCGCUUGAGAGAACUCGGGUGAAGGAACUAGGCAAAAUGGUGCCGUAACUUCGGGAGAAGGCACGCUGAUAUGUAGGUGAAGUCCCUCGCGGAUGGAGCUGAAAUCAGUCGAAGAUACCAGCUGGCUGCAACUGUUUAUUAAAAACACAGCACUGUGCAAACACGAAAGUGGACGUAUACGGUGUGACGCCUGCCCGGUGCCGGAAGGUUAAUUGAUGGGGUCAGCGCAAGCGAAGCUCUUGAUCGAAGCCCCGGUAAACGGCGGCCGUAACUAUAACGGUCCUAAGGUAGCGAAAUUCCUUGUCGGGUAAGUUCCGACCUGCACGAAUGGCGUAAUGAUGGCCAGGCUGUCUCCACCCGAGACUCAGUGAAAUUGAACUCGCUGUGAAGAUGCAGUGUACCCGCGGCAAGACGGAAAGACCCCGUGAACCUUUACUAUAGCUUGACACUGAACAUUGAGCCUUGAUGUGUAGGAUAGGUGGGAGGCUUAGAAGUGUGGACGCCAGUCUGCAUGGAGCCGACCUUGAAAUACCACCCUUUAAUGUUUGAUGUUCUAACGUUGACCCGUAAUCCGGGUUGCGGACAGUGUCUGGUGGGUAGUUUGACUGGGGCGGUCUCCUCCUAAAGAGUAACGGAGGAGCACGAAGGUUGGCUAAUCCUGGUCGGACAUCAGGAGGUUAGUGCAAUGGCAUAAGCCAGCUUGACUGCGAGCGUGACGGCGCGAGCAGGUGCGAAAGCAGGUCAUAGUGAUCCGGUGGUUCUGAAUGGAAGGGCCAUCGCUCAACGGAUAAAAGGUACUCCGGGGAUAACAGGCUGAUACCGCCCAAGAGUUCAUAUCGACGGCGGUGUUUGGCACCUCGAUGUCGGCUCAUCACAUCCUGGGGCUGAAGUAGGUCCCAAGGGUAUGGCUGUUCGCCAUUUAAAGUGGUACGCGAGCUGGGUUUAGAACGUCGUGAGACAGUUCGGUCCCUAUCUGCCGUGGGCGCUGGAGAACUGAGGGGGGCUGCUCCUAGUACGAGAGGACCGGAGUGGACGCAUCACUGGUGUUCGGGUUGUCAUGCCAAUGGCACUGCCCGGUAGCUAAAUGCGGAAGAGAUAAGUGCUGAAAGCAUCUAAGCACGAAACUUGCC
rnacentral:rRNA from 1 species